rnacentral:rRNA from 1 species
UACGGGGGGGCAAGCGUUGUUCGGAAUUACUGGGCGUAAAGGGCUCGUAGGCGGCCAACUAAGUCGGAUGUGAAAUCCCCAGGCUCAACCUGGGAACUGCAUCCGAUACUGGAUGGCUUGAAUUCGGGAGAGGGAUGCAGAAUUCCAGGUGUAGCGGUGAAAUGCGUAGAUAUCUGGAGGAAUACCGGUGGCGAAGGCGGCAUCCUGGCCCACUCUUGACGCUGAGGCGCGAAAGCUAGGGGAGCAAACGGG